rnacentral:rRNA from 1 species
GCUAAACGCGAAGAACCUUACCCAGACUUGACAUGCACUAGACCGUUCCAGAAAUGGAAUUUCCCUUCGGGGCUGGUGCACAGGUGCUGCAUGGCUGUCGUCAGCUCGUGCCGUGAGGUGUUGGGUUAAGUCCCGCAACGAGCGCAACCCUUAUCGUUAGUUGCCAGCACGUAAUGGUGGGAACUCUAAUGAGACUGCCCGGGUUAACCGGGAGGAAGGUGAGGAUGACGUCAAGUCCGCAUGGCCCUUAUGUCUGGGGCUACACACGUGCUACAAUGGUCGGUACAGAAGGCAGCAAAACCGUGAGGUGAAGCAAAUCCCGAAAGCCGGCCCAGUUCAGAUUGUAGUCUGCAACUCGACUACAUGAAGAUGGAAUUGCUAGUAAUGGCGAGUCAGCAACAUCGCCGUGAAUACGUU